rnacentral:rRNA from 1 species
ACUCAAAGGAAUUGACGGGGACCCGCACAAGCAGCGGAGCAUGUGGUUUAAUUCGACGCAACGCGAAGAACCUUACCAGGCCUUGACAUCCCACGCUAUCUUAAGAGAUUAGGAGUUCCGCAAGGACGUGGAGACAGGUGGUGCAUGGUUGUCGUCAGCUCGUGUCGUGAGAUGUUGGGUUAAGUCCCGCAACGAGCGCAACCCUUACGGUCAGUUACCAGCAUGUAGUGAUGGGGACUCUGACAGGACUGCCGAGGUCAACUCGGAGGAAGGUGGGGACGACGCCAAAUCAUCAUGCCCCUUACGGCCUGGGCUACACACGUGCUACAAUGGCCGGUACAAAGUGAUGCGAAGCCGCAAGGUGGAGCCAAACACAUAAAAACGGCCUCAGUUCAGAUUGUGGGCUGCAACCCGCCCACAUGAAGUCGGAGUUGCUAGUAAUCGCGAAUCAGCAUGUCGCGGUGAAUGCGUUCCCGGGUCUUGCACACACCGCCCGU